AACGCGAAGAACCUUACCUAGACUUGACAUCUCCUGAAUUACUCGUAAUAGAGGAAGCCCUUCGGGGCAGGAAGACAGGUGGUGCAUGGUUGUCGUCAGCUCGUGUCGUGAGAUGUUGGGUUAAGUCCCGCAACGAGCGCAACCCUUAUUGUUAGUUGCUACCAUUAAGUUGAGCACUCUAGCAAGACUGCCCGGGUUAACCGGGAGGAAGGUGGGGAUGACGUCAAAUCAUCAUGCCCCUUAUGUCUAGGGCUACACACGUGCUACAAUGGUGAGUACAAAGAGAUGCAAUACCGCGAGGUGGAGCCAAACUCAAAAACUCAUCCCAGUUCGGAUUGUAGGCUGCAACUCGCCUACAUGAAGCCGGAGUUGCUAGUAAUCGCGAAUCAGAAUGUCGCGGUGAAUACGUUCCCGGGUCUUGUACACACGC
rnacentral:rRNA from 1 species